rnacentral:rRNA from 1 species
ACAUGCAAGUCGAGGGGCAGCACAGGUAGCAAUACUGGGUGGCGACCGGCAAACGGGUGCGGAACACGUACGCAACCUUCCUUCAAGCGGAGAAUAGCCCAGGGAAACUUGGAUUAAUACUCCAUAAGAUUAUGGUGUGGCAUCACACAGUAAUUAAAGCUCCGGCACUUGAAGAUGGGCGUGCGCCUGAUUAGGUAGUUGGCGGGGUAACGGCCCACCAAGCCGACGAUCAGUAACUGGUGUGAGAGCACGACCAGUCACACGGGCACUGAGACACGGGCCCGACUCCUACGGGAGGCAGCAGUAAGGAAUAUUGGUCAAUGGACGCAAGUCUGAACCAGCCAUGCCGCGUGGAGGAUGAAGGCCCUCUGGGUUGUAAACUUCUUUUAUUUGGGAAGAAACCCAUCUUUUCUAAGGUGGUUGACGGUACCAGAUGAAUAAGCACCGGCUAACUCCGUGCCAGCAGCCGCGGUAAUACGGAGGGUGCAAGCGUUAUCCGGAUUCACUGGGUUUAAAGGGUGCGUAGGUGGGCAGGUAAGUCAGUGGUGAAAUCUCCGGGCUUAACCCGGAAACUGCCGUUGAUACUAUCUGUCUUGAAUGUAGUGGAGGUGAGCGGAAUAUGUCAUGUAGCGGUGAAAUGCUUAGAUAUGACAUAGAACACCCAU